rnacentral:rRNA from 1 species
GACGUAGGUGGCGACCGUUAUCCGGAAUUAUUGGGCGUAAAGGGUGCGUAGGUGGCCUGACAAGUUAUCAGUGGCAAAUCGAGGCUCAACCUCGUGGAAACUGGUAAUACUGUCCGGCUUGAGUACAGGAGAGGUUAACGGAACUCUAUGUGGAGCGGUAAAAUGCAAAGAUAUAUAGAAGAACAUCAAUAACGGCGAAGGCAGUUAACUAUUCUGUUACUGACACUGAGGCACGAAAGCGUGGGGAGCAAAACGG